ensembl:lncRNA
AGACAGAAGUGAAUGGGUGUGGUGGUGUGCUAAGAAAACUUCUCCACAAAGAUGGGAAGGUGGGACUCAGGGGUUGCCGCUGGCACUGUUGACCCCAAGAACACGGUGGCUGCAAUACCACAGCAUUUGGUCAGACAACUGGGAACAUCUGCCUGCAUGCUGGGACAUGCAGGACCCACUGCCACCUCAACUGACUCCUGACGCCCGUGAAGCUGGAGAUUGGACGUCGGUGGCCCCAUGGCCUUGCUUUCCAACAGAAAACAC